GACGAACGCUGGCGGCGUGCCUAACACGUGCAAGUCGAACGGAAAGGCCCUGCUUUUGUGGGGUGCUCGAGUGGCGAACGGGUGAGUAACACGUGAGUAACCUGCCCUUGACUUUGGGAUAACUUCAGGAAACUGGGGCUAAUACCGGAUAGGAGCUCCUGCUGCAUGGUGGAGGUUGGAAAGUUUCGGCGGUUGGGGAUGGACUCGCGGCUUAUCAGCUUGUUGGUGGGGUAGUGGCUUACCAAGGCUUUGACGGGUAGCCGGCCUGAGAGGGUGACCGGCCACAUUGGGACUGAGAUACGGCCCAGACUCCUACGGGAGGCAGCAGUGGGGAAUAUUGCACAAUGGGCGGAAGCCUGAUGCAGCAACGCCGCGUGCGGGAUGACGGCCUUCGGGUUGUAAACCGCUUUCGCCUGUGACGAAGCGUGAGUGACGGUAAUGGGUAAAGAAGCACCGGCUAACUACGUG
rnacentral:rRNA from 1 species